AUGGAAUCCUGGAAUCCUUGGAAUCCUGAGGAGGGCCAGCCCUCCCAUGAACCAAGAUGAAGAUUCACUUCACCUCAGACUGCAGAUUGGGAGGAACAACAGAUCUGGAGCCACCUCACCACUUGCUAACCUCUACUGUAGCCAGCAGCUCUGCAGAAUCUCUGGUGGCACCACUAUAGCUAGUCCAACUCUUUGGGUGGCACCAACUCUAGCCCAACACCAUGGGCAGGAAUCUCUCCUUCUGCCCCUGCCUCUUCUGCUUUCUCUCCCUGCUUGGCUACUGCCACUGCCAGACACAACAGCACUUUCACUCGCUAUCACCCAGCCGUGAAGAGCAAGGUGCCACAGUAGGAACAGCAGCAACUUCCUAUUGAGCCACUCACCCAGUUACCAAGCAACCAGGCCAUCCUUUGCUCGUCUACUCAGCUUGAUGCAUCUACAAAGAAAAGAAAAUAUAUAUUUGACCUGAUCCGUGAACUUUCUGCUGCUAGUUUACAAAACACAGGUCUGGGAUAUAUUUCUUAUAGCACCAACACCAAAGACUAUCAAAUCAAU